rnacentral:rRNA from 1 species
CCUACGGGAGGCAGCAGUGGGGAAUAUUGGUCAAUGGGCGAAAGUCUGAACCAGCCAAGUAGCGUGAAGGAUGACUGCCCUAGGGGUUGUAAACUUCUUUUAUAGGGGAAUAAAAUGUUCCACGUGUGGGAUUUUGUAUGUACCAUAUGAAUAAGGAUCGGCUAACUACGUGCCGGCAGCCGCGGUUAUACGGAGGAUCCGAGCGUUAUCCGGAUUUAUUGGGUUGAAAGGGAGCGUAGGUGGAUUGUUAAGUCAGUUGUGAAAGUUUGCGGCUCAACCGUAAAAUUGCAGUUGACACUGGCAGUCUUGAGUACAGUAGAGGUGGGCGGAAUUCGUGGUGUAGCGGUGAAAUGCGUAGAUAUCACGAAGAACUCCGAUGGCGAAGGCAGCUCACUGGACUGCAACUGACACUGAGGCUCGAAAGUGUGGGUAUCAAACAGGAUUAGAUACCCGGGUAGUC